rnacentral:rRNA from 1 species
AUUGAACGCUGGCGGCAGGCCUAACACAUGCAAGUCGAGCGGAGCGGCGGACGGGUGAGUAAUGCCUAGGAAUCUGCCUGGUAGUGGGGGAUAACGUCCGGAAACGGGCGCUAAUACCGCAUACUAUCAGAUGAGCCUAGGUCGGAUUAGCUAGUUGGUGGGGUAAAGGCCUACCAAGGCGACGAGCCGUAACUGGUCUGAGAGGAUGAUCAGUCACACUGUGACUGAGACACGGCCCAGACUACUACGGGAGGCAGCAGUGAGUAAUAUGGGUCAAUGUGCGAGAGCCUGAACCAGCCAAGUAGCGUGCAGGAAGACGGCCUAGGGGUUGUAAACUGCUUUUAUGUGGGGAUAGGUACCACAUGAAUAAGGACCGGCUAAUUCCGUGCCAGCAGCCGCGGUAAUAC